AGGCUGGUCUCGAACUCCCAGCCUCAGGUGUUCCGCCCACCUCCGCCUCCCAAAGUGUUGGGAUUACAGGUGUCAGCCACUGCGCCCAGGCUUUUUCCCCCUUUUUGAGACAGGAUCUCACUCUGCUGCCCAGACUGGAAUGCCGGUGGCGCAAUCACAGUUGACUGUAGACUCGACCACCUGGGCUCAAAUGAUCCUACCUCAGGCCCCCGAGUAGCUAGGACCAUAGGCAUACGCCACCAGACCUGGCUAAAUUUUUUUUUUUUUUUUUUUUUUCAUAAAGACAGGGUCUUGCUAUGUUCCCCAGGCUGGACUUGAACUCUCAGACUCCUGCCUCAGCCUCCCAAGUAGCUGGGACUACAGGUGUGCACUACUUUUGUUGUUUUUUUUGUUGUUGUAGAGAUGAUGUCUUGCUAUGUUGCCCAGGCUGAUCUCCAACUCCUGUUCUCAAAUGAUCCUCCCAACGUGGCCUCCCAAAGAGCUGAGAUUGCAGAUAUGAGCCACCUUGCUCAGUCCUCAGACUUCUUUGCUUUUUAUUUCACCUGAUGCUGUUGUUGUUUUCAAAUAGAUGAGUUUAAUCCAUUUCACUUGGAGUUAUGUUACUAUCUUAUUCAGUAUUUUGUCUACUAUUUUUUCUGUAUUUUUUUUCUUUUCCUGACUUGGGUUGACAUAUUAUCUCCACCCUCACCUUUUUUUUUUUUUUUUUUUUUUUUUUUUGAGACGGAGUCUCACCCUGUCACCCAGGCUGGAGUGCAGUGGCUUGAUCUCGGCUCACUGCAAGCUCUGCCUCCCAGGUUUAUGCCAUUCUCCUGCCUCAGCCUCCCCCGUAGCUGGGACCACAGGUGCCCACCACCAUGCCCGGCUAAUUUUUUUUUGUAUUUUUAGUAGAGACAGGGCUUCACCAUGUUAGCCAGGAUGGUCUUGAUCUCCUGACCUCGUGAUCUGCCUGCGUCGGCCUCCCAAAGUGCUGGGAUUACAGGCGAGAGCCAACACGCCCGGCCAACCCUCACCACUUUUUUUCCCCCUCCUGGUCUGGAAAUUAUAUUACUUUUUUUUUAGUGAUUAAUCUUAUAUUGUUAGCUUAUGUACAUUUUCUUGAUGAAGUCUUCAGUUUUUCAGUAAUGCCAUUCUCUUAACAAGGCAGAAAUUUGGUGUGGCUUAACAAUAAAAUUCUCUAUUCUUAUUCUUCCUUGGUAAUGUGGUCAACAAUUCUAGUUUUCUCUUAAAAAAAAAAAUUAAAAGCCCAUUUAGAUCCUGUUUUUUUUUUUUUUUUUUGUCUCUGUGUUUUGCCGUCUGUAGCAGACACUGUUGGCUGUCUACCAGCGGCCACUCUCUUUUUCGCUUGCCAACAGAAUCCUGAUUUGUUUGGGCAGCUAAGGACCCAGUCCUGGCAGAUGAUGCAAGACUGGCCAAAGCCAACCAGCGCCAACCACAGCAAGCCUGUCCCUUUUUCACCAGGAAUUGGUUUGAGGAUGGACCAGCUCAGGUCAAUGAGACCCAAGGGAGUAUGUGUUAGGGCCAUCUUGGAAAGAUUUUCCUUUCCAAAUAAGCAGCCGGGCGCAGUGGCUCACAACUGUAAUCCCAGCGCUUUGGGAGACUGAGGCAGGCAGAUCACCUGAGGUCAGGAGUUCGAGACCAGCCUGGGCAACAUGGUGAAACCCCAUCUCUACUAAAAAUACAAAAAUUAGCUGGGCGUGGGGUCAAGUGCUUGUAUUUCCAGCUACUCAGGAGGCUAAGGCACAAGAAUCACUUGAACCCACGAGGUGGAAGUUGAAGUGGGCGGAGCGGAGAUCACACCUUCCAGCCUGGAUGACAGUGAUUGCAAUAAAAAAUAAAAAAAAAAAAAGCAGCAGCAGCACAUGAAGAAAAAGCUUCCUUUCUCCUAGGAUCUCUGUGCCUUCCUGCCUGGGAUGUUACAGGGUGAUGAUAUAAUGUCUGGAGCUAUGGCAGCCAUCUCACGACCAUGAGAGACAUCUUGCACCCUCGUAUGGCAGAGUAGAAAGAUCGAGGGUCCUUCAUGUUCCUAUGUGACCUACUGCCCCAACCCUGGAACUACUGACCUCCACACUUCUUGUUAUAAACUAAUCCAGUGUUUUCCAGUUUAAGUCAUUGUGGGUUACUCUGCUACUUGCAUCCUAAUAUAUUGUUAAUAGUUAAUUCAGGCCAGGCACGGUGGCUCACACCUGUAAUCCCAGCACUUCAGGAGGCUGAGGCAGGCGGAUCACCUGAGGUUGGGAGUUCGAGAGCAGCCUGACCAACAUGGAGAAACCCCGUCUCUACUGAAAAUACAAAAUUAGCUGGGUGUGGUGGCGGAUGUCUGUAAUCCCAGCUACUCAGGAGGGUGAGGUGGGAGAAUCGCUUGAACCCGGGAGGCAGAGGUUGCGGUGAGCCGAGAUCACCCCAUUGCACUCCAGCCUGGGCAACAAGAGCGAAACUCCGUCUCAAAAAAAAAAAAAAAUAGUUAAUUCAAUUUACCAACAUAAUGCAUCCACUUCUGUGCUCACUGUUGGCACCAACAACCUGCUCUUUCUUCAGGGGUUUACUUUUCUUCUUACUGAAGUACAUCUGUAACCAUUCUUUCAGCAAAGGUCUGUAGGUGAUAAAACUGUCUUAGCCUGUCCAAAAAUACCUUUAUUUUACCUCAUUCUUGAAUGAUAGCUGGCUAUGGAAUUCCAGGUUGACAAGGAGCUUCUCUAAGACAUUCUUCUGUUGUUUUCUGGCAUCCAAUGUUGAUAAGAUAUUAUUUGUGAUCUAAUUGUCAAUUCUUUGAAUUCUUUCUUACCUCCAGUAGUUUUUAACUCUCUUGGUCUGGUCAGGUAUGGCAGCUCAUGCCUGUAAUCCCAGCACUUUGGGAGACCACGGUGGGCAGGUUGCUUGAGCCCAGGAGUUUGAGACCAACCUGGGCAACACGACAACACCCUAUCUCUACAAAAAAUACAAAAAUUAGCCGGGCGUGGUGGCAUGUUUCUGUAGGCCCAGCUACUCAGGAGGCUGAGGUGGGAGGAUCACCUGAGCCUGGCAGGUCAAGGCCACAGUGAACCGUGAUUACGCCACUGCCGCCCAACCUGGCCUCAAAAAGCAAAAUAAAGUUAUAUUAUUAUCUGCAGUUUGGCUGUAUUAUAUCUAGUGACAUAUUAUUUAUCCUGUUUGAUGUUCAUGCUGUUUUUUCGAAUCUGAAAUUUCAAGCCAUUAUCUCUUUAAAUAUUAUUUCUAGGCUGGGCAUGGUGGCUCAUACCUGUAAUCCCAGCAUUUUUGGAGGCCUAAGCAGGCGGAUCACUUGAGCUCAGGAGUUCGAGACCAGCUUAGGCAACAUGGCAAAACCGCGUCUCUAUAAUAAAAAAUAAAAAAAUUAAGCGUGGUAGCGCAUGCCUGUGGUCCCAGAAAGUCAAGACGCUAAGGCGAAAGGUUGGCUUGAGGCUGGGCACGGUGGCACACACCUGUAAUCCCAGUACUUUGGGAGGCGGAGGCAGGUGGAUCAGCUGAGGUCAGGAGUUCACGACCAGCCUGGCCAACAUGGUGAAACCCCGUAUCUACUAAUAAUACAAAAAAUAAGCCGGGCAUGGUGGCGGAUGCCUGUAAUCCUAGCUACUCGGGAGGCUGAGACAGGAGACUCACUUGAACCUGGAAGGCGGAGGUUGCAGUGAGCUAAGAUCGGGCCACUGCACUCCAGCCUGGGCAACAAGAGUGAAACUCUGUCUCAAAAAAAAAAAAAAAGUUAGCUGGGCAUGGUGGCAAGUGCCUACAGCCCUAGCUACUCGGGAAGCUGAGGGGGCAGGAUCAUUUGAACCAGGGAAGUCAAGGCUGCAUUGAGCCAUGAUCAUGCCACUGCACACCAGCCUGGGCAACAGAGUGAGACUCUGUCUCUAUAAAAAAUAAAAAGCUGGCCGGGCGCGGUGGCUCGCGCCUAUAAUCCCAGCACUUUGGGAGGCCGAAGCAGCCAGAUCACCUGAGGUCAGGAGUUCGAGACCAGCCUGACCAACAUGGAGAAACCCGUCUCUAUCAAAAAUACAAAAAAAAAAAAAAAAAAAAAAAAAAUUAGCCAGGCGUGGUUGCGCAUGCCUGUGAUCCCAGCUACUCCGGAGGCUGAGGCAGGAGAAUUGCUUGAGCCCAGGAAGCGGAGGUUGCAGUGAGUAGAGAUCAUGCCAUUGCACUCCAGCCUGGGCAACAAAAGCGAAACUCCAUCUCAAAAAAGAAAAUAAUAAAUAAAUAAAUAAAUAAAUAAAUAAAUAAAUAAAUAAAAGCUUUAGCCCCAGGAAAUGGUAACAACUUUUCUCAGGCUACUGUCCAGCUGUGGAUUCAAGCAAUUUCCUAGCUCAAUUCCAUGCUCCAAAUGGAACACUUUAUGGCUCUGUUAUCCCAAAUUUCUGCUUCCAGACUCAGAGACCAGCAGGCCUGCAGCUUCAGCCUGGCUUUCUUCCUUGUGUUCUUGUCUAUUUCUCAUCCACAGGGAUAUUUAUCAUGUUGAGUGUGGUGGGGGGUAGAAAAGUGGAGGCGUACAUGAAUAUAUUUUUAGAAUUUUAUCUUUUUAUGUAUUACUGCUAUGUGUUUAGAGUAUAAAUUUACAGUGCCAUCCUGACUGGAUGAAUUGGAUUUAACUAUUCAUACCAGGAAACUGGGCAUCCCUGCCAAUACUAAUCUCUUGGGAACAGGUAUCAAACCAUCUCUAACAAGAUUCAUAGAACUCUAGCCAACACAAUGAGGGCAGGAGACUGAGAUACCCUGGGGUCAACUGAAGAAAGGCCCAAUUGAAACUGCUCUCCCAUUCCCACUGCCACCUUCAUUCCAGUCCACAGAGGGAUAGGGCAGGGCGUGCAGACAUGCAAACGGGAUCUUUCAGAUGUGGCCUGGGCAGGCCUUCACUGACCCAGGUAACACGGGCCUUCAGUCUCUUCCACACCAUUUGCCCAUUUCAGUCUUUCACCUGACUAGUGAAAACUGCACACUGGCCAUACAAACACCCCUGAUGGAAGGCCCAUCUGACUCUCUUCAAGUCCCCAGUCUGCCAGCACAGGCCCAGCCUGAAGUUCCACUGAAAAUCGGAACAAUUGAUUCAGGAGCCAAAUUCUAGUCUAGACUGUUACCAAGCAGCCAAGCAGGUUACUUUUCAUUUCCAGGCCAAGAUUCUGUUUGUUUAUUUUUGAGAUAGAGUCUCACUCUGUCAUCCAGGCUGUAGUGCGGUAGUGUGAUCUCAGCUCACUGCAACCUCCGCCUCCUGGGUUCAAGUGAUACUCCUGACUCAGCCUCCCAAGUAGCUGGGACUACAGGCGCCUGCCACCACGCCCAGAUAAUUUUUCUAUUAUUAUUUAUUUAUUUAUUUAUUUAUUAUUUAUUUAUUUUUUUGAGACGGAGUCUCACUCUGUCACCCAGGCUGGAGUGCAGUGGCACGAUCUCGGCUCACUGCAAGCUCCACCUCCCGGGUUCAUGCCAUUCUCCUGCGUCAGCCUCCCGAGUAUCUGGGACUACAGGCGUCCGCCACCAAACCUGGCUAACUUUUUGUAUUUUUUAGUAGAGACGGGGUUUCACCGUGUUAGCCAGGAUGGUCUCGAUCUCCUUACCUCGUGAUCCACCUGCCUCGGCCUCCCAAAGUGCUGGGAUUACAGGCAUGAGCCAUCACGCCCAGCCAAUUUUUCUAUUAUUAGCAGAGAUGGGCUUUCGCCAUGUUGGUCAGGCUGGUCUCAAACUCCUGACUGUUAGGGAUGAGCUGCCCCAGGACCACCCCCCCGCCACAAUGCAGCUGACCCUUACCGUGAAUACUCUGCAGCUGCAUUCCUGAACCCUUAUCUAGGCACCACAGCAAGUCAUCAAACUUACUAGAUUACAGCCCUCCGGGCGGCACGGGGAAGGUCACAAGAAACGGAUAAACCUAAGAGGGAUACACCCUCUUGUAAAUUCCUAUUUUCACAAGAUAAUAUAUUGCAAGCCAGUCAGGAGAAGAUAUUCGUAAAGUUAACGGACAAACAACCCCAGGGUGUUUCUCUCUCUCUCCAUCUCCCGGGUUCAAGCGAUUCUCCUGCCUCAGCCUCCUGAGUAGCUGGGACUACCGGAGUGUGCCACCACACCUGGCUAACUUUUCUAUUUUUAGUAGAGAUGGGGUUUCACCAUGUUGGCUAGGCUGGUCUCAAAUUCCUGACUUCAAGUGAUCUACCCACCUCGGCCUCCCAAAGUGCUAGGAUUACAGGCGUUGAUCCACCGUGCCCAGCUUCCAAGAUUCUUUUUUUUUUUUUUUUUUUUCUUUUCUGAAACAGAGUCUCAGUCACCCAGCCUGGAGUGCAGUGGCACAAUCUUGGGAUCUUGGCUCACCGCAACCUCCGCCUCCCGGGUUCAAGCGAUUCUCCUGCCUCAGCCUCCUGAGUAGCUGGGACUACAGGCACGCGCCACCACGCCCAGCUAAUUUUUGUAUUUUUAGUAGAGAUGGGGUUUCACCAUGUUGCCUAGGCUGGUCUUCAAUUCCUGACUUCAAGUGAUCCACCCACCUCGGCCUCCCAAAGUGCUGUGAUUACAGGAGUGAGCCACCGAGCCCAGCUUCCAAGAUUCUUUAACAAUCAAAAGGAAGCAAUCCUACCUCCACUCUCUUCCUCCCGGAUGAUCGCAGUGUUGGUUACUGCUGACCACCACUGUGAUUUCCAGUUUUACCUAUUUCUUUCAGCUGCUAAUGUAUUUCAAAAGCAUGAGAUGGGGUGCCCUUAUUCAUGCAGCGAGGUCAAGAUCUUAACAUAAAUAGCAUUCAGAGAUGCCCAAACCAGGCCUCCCCAGCCUCAUCUCUUAUCAGACCCUAUUCUCUAAGGUUUACAAACUAAUUUGGAUCCCAAGCCAGAACUGGCCCACAUUUAUUAAGAUUCUACACUGAAACUAAAAAGACAUGUAUGUGUCUCUCACUUAAAAGAACCCUAAGAACUCUCAGGGUACAGAGACAAUGCUAUUUAAUUCCUCAUCUCUGUACCACUGUAGCGCCUAGCACUGUCCUGCAUAUAGGAGGCAUCAAUAAAUGUUUGCCCAACUGAGUAUCAUCUCUCUACAUAAGCCCAGGGCUAUAAAAAUCAAAAGAAAUGAUGGUUAUAAAAAAUGCUUUGAAACCAUUAUUAUGAAUUAUAUAAGUAUGCAUAUGAAAGUGAUAAUUAUAUUCUGCCCCCACUUUUCCAUCUCUGACAUUCUAGAAGUGAGAGCUUUCUCUAACUUCUCUUGGACCACCCAGAAACAUGAGACCUCAGGUACAAACCAAAUUGAGCAAAUCUGAGCCUGUGGGAAAGGGGUGUGCGUGUAAAGCUGAAGCAGGUGCCUGGACGACGGCAGGGACAGUGGGAGUGUGCUACUCUUAAGGGCCCAGCAACAAACACCUGGCACGGCUGCUGACCUGGAACUCCUGCAGCUCACUCCCCUAAGCACCGCAAGCUGCAGUCCUCCCAGCUGGGGCUUUCCAGAUCACUCACCCGUUCACCUCGGCUCAAAGCAUCUCCAGAUGAACAAAGUGCGUAGAAAAACUUGGAUUCACAUUGUGGGUUUGCCACUUGUCAGCUAUUGACCAUGUAACUUCUCUCAUGGUCCUGAUCUGUGCAAUGGGAAUAGCACCCAUCUCGAAGGGGUUCCAUGAGGAUUAUAUAAAGGCACACAUAAAGCUCUACCUCCAUGGCUAUGGUCAUGGGUUGGGCAGAUUGAGGGUCACAGCUCUGCAGGAGCCCCAUGGCAUCACAAGGAAGGCACAAACCCCUCCCACACAGCACUGACUCUGGCUCCACAGCGCCCCAGCCCCACCCCACCUUCCCAGCCCCCACUUCCCACAGGAACUCUCCUCCCUGGGGCCCCACUCCCAGCAGGCACCGGCCUCCAGGAAGGUUGCGGUUUCAGGGCCAGCCCUACCUUGGUUGAUCCUUGCCCCUAGACCCAGCAGAGGACGGUGCGCGUCCAUCCUAUGGGACACGGCCGUAACCCCUUCCCCAGCCCCCACUUUAGCACACCCUGCAGAGCAGAGGCCUGACCUGAGCUGGCUCUAAACAGCUCCCUGAGGCUGGAGGCCAGACAGCCACAAGCCAGGAGCAAGAUUCUAGAAUACAAAGCUAUUAUAAUAAGGAGUUUCUCUGCAAGGCCAAAAGCCUCAGACAUUAAUAGAGGCAGAAGAUGAGUUGCAGACCCUGAAGUCCUCCUGCCCAGCCAAGCUACCAAGGUGGGGUGUCCGCCAGAACCACUGGGGCCAGGCAAUAUGAUGACAGCAACAGUCCAGGCUGCAGUAAUGUCUUUUGGAAAGGUCAGCCUGUGGCAGCUAUGCUCAUGGAAACUCAAGGAAGGUGUUUGCAUCCAUGCUUCUACCAGAAGACUAAAAGGAAGCCAUGUCCUCCCACCCAGCCCUCCAGAGUGAAGGUAUAGAAAUGCAGAGUAAAAGAUGGAGGGAACCAGAGGUGGGCCCCUUGCUCAGCUGCUGUGUCCUCUGGACACUUCCUUUCCAACAGGGACCCUGGAAGUUCCAGCUAGGAAGAGAGGUCAUUGUGAGCCCACGGCCAGCCUGGUGCCAUCUGGUAACUUCCAGCACCAACCCUGCAGGUGGCUUUGGGAAGCAUCGCUGUCCUGCACCCUGCUUUUCCCUGUCACUAAGGUUCAGCCCUGGGAGGUGGGCUGGGGAGGACAGUGCCUGAGAGCCCAGCACACACCUGCCUUCAUGGUCCCGAGCUCCAGCUGAGCAGUCUUCCUCUUUCCUGAGGAGCCGAUGACAUGCUGUGACCUACUCAGGCAGGGCCCCUGGUUGCUAGGGAAUCAGUUCACCACCUCUGGAAAGUGGCAAUAUCGCUGCUGUGAGUAGGCCCAAAGUGGGCCUUUCCCUGGCACCGCCUCUGAGCCUUAUCCCCGGGGUGAGAAAAACGAAGGUUGGGGGACGCCAAGGGCCCUCCUCGGUCCCUGCUGCCCAUCCUCAAGGACUGACCUGCCCUCCUGGAUCUGGCCUAAGCUGAGUUAUAAGCUCCCUGCCAAGACAACAUCCAUCGUGCCAUGUACUACUGUUGUCAACUUUAGGGGGAUGUGGAAAGGAAGGACGCACAGACCUUGGUCCAUUACAGUGGACCCCAGGGAGCUGUCUUUGUUGUCCAGCUUUAUGAUACAGCUUGGGGUUACACAGGCAUCGCCCACAUGAUGGUGCUAUCAGGGACUGGGGAUGUGAGGAGGUGGGGCCCAGGGCCCGCUUUCAAGCCCCACCCCUCCUUGAGACAAGGUCUUACUCCAGCCCAGGCUGGAGUGCAGUGCUAGGAUCAUGGCUCACUGCAGUCUUGGCCUCCUGCCUCAGCCUCAGCAUCCUGAGCAGCUGGGACCACAGGUACACACAACACCGCACCUGACUUCGCUUUCAGAGUCCAAAGCCCUCAUAGGGCCAUUGUGAGGCUAGGGCAUCCCCACCCCAUAUGUGGUUAACUCAUGCCUAUGAAUUACCAUUUUGUUUGUUGUUAUUGUUUGUUUUUGUAAAGCUAGGAUCUUGCUAUGCUGCCCAGGCUGGUCUUGAACUCCUGACCCCAAUCCUCCCGUCUCAGCCCCCGAAAGUGCUGGAAUUACGGGCCUGAGCCACCAAGCCCAGCCUGCACUAACAUUUCACAGGGAAUGAUGGACCAAUGCUGGAGGACCUUGAUUCCAGGACUGGCUGUGCUCAAUAGCAGAGCAGCUGUGUGUCUUUGGGCAAAUCACACCUCUCUGGGCUGCAGGUCCUCCAUUUGUAAAAUGAGCACGAUAAUGCCUACCUACUGACCUCACGCACUCCCUGCAAAGAUUAAAUGAGCAAUGACUGUAGGCUGUGGAGUGCUGUAUCUCCAAGUAACAUUGACUUUCAGCCUCAUAGAGAGGAAGGAAACAGGGACGAGAGGUGACACUGCAGCUAAGCCAAAGGGAACAGGUGUGUGUGACAUGGGACUGGGGGACCAGUUAAAACCGGCCCCAGGCAUAAACAGACAGGGUGCUCUGGGCGCUGAGCAGGAGAAGCAGACAGGUCAGUCUGGGCUGGCAGACAGUUCGGGAGAGAAAUGGCUGUCAGCAAACAUCUGAAGGGCAAGAGGAAAGACACAGGAGUGAGAGGCUCAGAAUGCAAGAGGCAUCCAGUCCCAAACUUCACUCCCGAGAACUCAGGAGCUGGUGAGCAUUGCCCCAAAGCUCCCAGGCACACCAGCAUUUUGCUAAUACACACAUAACGCCACACCCUCAGAGUCCAAAGCCCUCAUAGGGGCAGCCUUGACCUCUGGCCCAGAGACCCCAGCAAAGUGACUCACCUGAGGUAAGAAGCCUGUGUAAGACUGAACUGAGGUCUCCUCUUAAGUCAGAGGCUCAAAGCCCAAAGCACGCUGCUAAGCUCUUACUACAACACUCCAUUCCUGGCUUUGCCAAGCUGAGUCAAAUACCUGUCCCCUCACAAACUGGAAGUGACAGAGAACUGAGUCCAAAAGAGCGCUAUUUUUGUUUUUCUGUACCUGAAACUGGCACCACUGUCCUGGGCAUUCUCUUCCAAAGGAGGAGACAGAGGGGGAGCACGACUCACCCCAAAUCCCUCAACAGAAUUGAGAAAACACAGCCACACCAGAGCCAUGUCCUCAUCCCAGUGCCAGCAAGAAACAGCACAGGAGGGUGGGCAUUCAGGAAGCUGACGUCACUGAAUGUCUCCAUCUCAGACCUUUCCUAACACCAGCUAUCACACAGAUCUCCCCCCGGGCCAUUAAGAGGAAGGGACCAUUUGCCAUAAAAAUCAACACUUUAGGCUGGGCGCGGUGGCUCACGCCUGUAAUCCCAGCACUUUGGGAGGCUGCGUCCGGAAGAUCACCUGAGGUCAGGAGUUUGAAUCCAGCCUG
rnacentral:lncRNA from 1 species